UACAGAGGGGGCAAGCGUUGUUCGGAAUUACUGGGCGUAAAGGGCGCGUAGGCGGCCCGCUAAGUCGAACGUGAAAUCCCCGAGCUCAACUCGGGAACUGCGUCCGAUACUGGCGGGCUUGAAUCCGGGAGAGGGAUGCAGAAUUCCAGGUGUAGCGGUGAAAUGCGUAGAUAUCUGGAGGAAUACCGGUGGCGAAGGCGGCAUCCUGGACCGAGAUUGACACUGAUGAGCGAAAGGCUAGGGGAGCAAACGGG
rnacentral:rRNA from 1 species